AAUUUCCUACGGGAGGCAGCAGUGGGGAAUAUUGCACAAUGGGGGAAACCCUGAUGCAGCGACGCCGCGUGAGUGAAGAAGUAUUUCGGUAUGUAAAGCUCUAUCAGCAGGGAAGAAAUACUGACCUUACGGUCAGCAGACGGUACCUGACUAAGAAGCCCCGGCUAACUACGUGCCAGCAGCCGCGGUAAUACGUAGGGAGCGAGCGUUGUCCGGAUUUACUGGGUGUAAAGGGUGCGCAGGCGGCUCUGCAAGUCAGGCGUGAAAGCUAGGGGCUCAACCCCUAAACUGCGCUUGAAACUGUG
rnacentral:rRNA from 1 species